rnacentral:rRNA from 1 species
UACGGGGGGGGCAAGCGUUGUUCGGAAUUACUGGGCGGAAAGGGCUCGUAGGUGGCCAACUAAGUCAGACGUGAAAUCCCUCGGCUUAACCGGGGAACUGCGUCUGAUACUGGAUGGCUUGAGUUUGGGAGAGGGAUGCGGAAUUCCAGGUGUAGCGGUGAAAUGCGUAGAUAUCUGGAGGAACACCGGUGGCGAAGGCGGCAUCCUGGACCAACACUGACGCUGAGGAGCGAAAGCCAGGGGAGCAAUCGGG